GGAUGAAGAACGCAGCGAAAUGCGAUAAGUAAUGUGAAUUGCAGAAUUCAGUGAAUCAUCGAAUCUUUGAACGCACAUUGCGCCCGCCAGUAUUCUGGCGGGCAUGCCUGUCUGAGCGUCAUUUCAACCCUCAUGCCCCUAGGGCGUGGUGUUGGGGAUCGGCCAAAGCCCGCGAGGGACGGCCGGCCCCUAAAUCUAGUGGCGGACCCGUCGUGGCCUCCUCUGCGAAGUAGUGAUAUUCCGCAUCGGAGAGCGAUGAGCCCCUGCCGUUAAACCCCCAACUUUCCAAGGUUGACCUCAGAUCAGGUAGGAAUACCCGCUGAACUUAAGCAUAUCAAUAAGCGGAGGA
rnacentral:misc_RNA from 1 species